rnacentral:rRNA from 1 species
CGAGUGGCUCAGCCAAUACGAGCCACGGCAUACAGCUCAGUAACACGUGGCUAAUCUGCCCUUAGGACGAGAACAACCCCGGGAAACUGGGGCUAACUCUCGAUAGGCGAAGAACUCUGGAAUGAGUCUUCACCUAAAUAGUUCAGCGUUACGCUCGUUGGACCGCCUAAGGAUGAGGCCGCGACCGAUCAGGUUGUUGGUGAGGUAAUGGCUCACCAAGCCUUUUACCGGUGCGGGCCGUGAGAGCGGGAGCCCGGAGAUGGGCACUGAGACAAGGGCCCAGGCCCUACGGGGCGCAGCAGUCGCGAAAACUUUGCAAUACACGAAAGUGUGACAGGGCUAUCCCGAGUGCCAUCCGCUGAGGAAGGCUUUUACCCUGUCUAGGAAGCUGGGGGAAUAAGGAGAGGGCAAGUCUGGUGUCAGCCGCCGCGGUAAUACCAGCUCUCCGAGUGGUGUGGAUGUUUAUUGGGCCUAAAGCAUCCGUAGCUGGCUAAGUUAGUCCCUUGUUAAAUCCACCGAAUUAAUCGUUGGAUUGCGGGGGAUACUGCUUGGCUAAGGGACGAGAGAGGCAGACGGUAUUUCCGGGGUAGGGGUGAAAUCCUAUAAUCCCGGGAAGACCACCAGUGGCGAAGGCUGUCUGCUAGAACGCGCCCGACGGUGAGGGAUGAAAGCUGGGGGAGCGAACCGGAUUAGAUACCCGGGUAGUCCCAGCUGUAAACGAUGCAGGCUAGGUGUUUGGACGGCCACGUGCCGUUCUAGUGCCGCAGGGAAGCUGUUAAGCCUGCCGCCUGGGGAGUACGAUCGCAAGAUUGAAACUUAA